rnacentral:lncRNA from 1 species
CGGCUCGCGUGGGGUCCUCGCCCCAAGGCCGCGAAAGCUCCGGCGUCUUCGGCGCGGGGCGCGCGGGGCGGGCGGGGCGGGGCGCUGCGCCACGCCGACGGUGCUUCCUCGGACUCCAGCCCGGAUCCGCCCCCAACUCUGAGGAGCCCACUCUUCUCUCCCUUCCGCAGCAGGGAGGGAGCCCCAAGCGAGCACCCUGGGGGCGUCCCCGAAGCCUGGAGCCCUCGGAUCCUCGGCGAGGAGGAGCAGGAGCCGAGGCGGUGAGCGAGCGUGUGCGCGCCCGGCGCCUCCCGCGGGCCGCCGAGAGGUGCAGAGCCCGCUCCGAUGGCAGCGACGGGUUCUCGCCAGCUGUCCUCCCCCUGCUGCGUCGCCUCCCCGCCCGGCCCACGAGCGCGCAACGAAUGCGGUUCAAAGGAAGAAUCUCGAUGCUCGGAGAUGAACACCAGUGUCUUUUUCAACCCAGCCAACUCGUCCUCCCCGCGCGCCGGGGCCGGGGCAGAAGGCGCUCGAGCCGUUGGCGGGGGGGCGGGGGACAAGCAGAGGGAUGCUGGUUUUAGACAUGGCAUUCUCUUCAGGGUGGCAGUGACAAGGGACCACAUACUGGGUGGCUUAGAACAGCCUACACUUACUCUCUCACAGUCUGAGGGAUCUCCAAGCAAGUCUGUGCUGGCGCCAUGUGUGGCCCAUGGACUGAGGUGGACGGUGAGCUCUUCCGGCAACAGCCAUGCCUCGGACGGCUGCCAGGGAGACACACAAGCUGCAUAUCCCCGCCUCGGGCCUGGGCUUCCGCCGAGCAGGUUUCCGCAGACCGGGUGCUGGCGCCAUCCUGGCAAAUACCGCUGGUGGGCGCUGGGUGGGGCGAUGCUGCGCCUGGGAGCUGGCGGGGUGGUGAGCUCCUGGGGACAUCCAGGGAGGGAC